rnacentral:rRNA from 1 species
CACAAGCGGUGGAGUAUGUGGUUUAAUUCGAUGCAACGCGAAGAACCUUAACCUGGUCUUGACAUCCCGGAGACCCUUAGGAAACUAGGGGGUGCUUCCAUCUGGAAGAAUCUGGAGACAGGUGCUGCAUGGCUGUCGUCAGCUCGUGUCGUGAGAUGUUGGGUUAAGUCCCGCAACGAGCGCAACCCUUGCCUUUAGUUGCCAGCAGUUCGGCUGGGCACUCUAAAGGGACUGCCGGUGUUAAACCGGAGGAAGGUGGGGAUGACGUCAAGUCCUCAUGGCCUUUAUGACCAGGGCUACACACGUACUACAAUGGCCGAUACAAAGGGCAGCGACACUGCGAGGUGAAGCCAAUCCCGUAAAAUCGGUCUCAGUCCGGAUUGGAGUCUGCAACUCGACUCCAUGAAGUUGGAAUCGCUAGUAAUCGUGGAUCAGCAUGCCACGGUGAAUACGUUCCCGGGCCUU